GAUGAACGCUGGCGGCGUGCCUAAUACAUGCAAGUCGAGCGAACAGAUAAGGAGCUUGCUCCUUUGACGUUAGCGGCGGACGGGUGAGUAACACGUGGGUAACCUACCUAUAAGACUGGAAUAACUCCGGGAAACCGGGGCUAAUGCCGGAUAACAUGUUGAACCGCAUGGUUCUACAGUGAAAGGCGGCUUUGCUGUCACUUAUAGAUGGACCCGCGCCGUAUUAGCUAGUUGGUGAGGUAACGGCUCACCAAGGCAACGAUACGUAGCCGACCUGAGAGGGUGAUCAGCCACACUGGAACUGAGACACGGUCCAGACUCCUACGGGAGGCAGCAGUAGGGAAUCUUCCGCAAUGGGCGAAAGCCUGACGGAGCAACGCCGCGUGAGUGAUGAAGGUCUUCGGAUCGUGAAGCUCUGUUAUUAGGGAAGAACAAAUGCGUAAGUAACUGUGCGCGUCUUGACGGUACCUAAUCAGAAAGCCACGGCUAACUACGUG
rnacentral:rRNA from 1 species